rnacentral:rRNA from 1 species
UACGGGGGGGAGCAAGCGUUGUUCGGAUUUACUGGGCGUAAAGGGCGCGUAGGCGGCCACCGCAAGUCGACUGUGAAAUCUCCGGGCUUAACCCGGAAAGGUCAGCCGAUACUGCGGGGCUAGAGUGCAGAAGGGGCAACUGGAAUUCUCGGUGUAGCGGUGAAAUGCGUAGAUAUCGCUUGGAACGCCAAAGGUGAAAACAGACAGCUGGGAGUGUGCUGACGCUGAGACACGAAAGCCAGGGGAGCGAACGGG